CCGAGCGAGGGCCCCGGCCCGACCUCCAACCCAUUGAAGUUACCAACUCUGUUGCCUCGGGGGUGACCCGGCCGCCGCGUCGGGGCCCCCGGAGGACCACAGCACUCUGCGUUCCUGCGUCGGAGUUUGAGGGAAAUGUCAAUUA
rnacentral:misc_RNA from 1 species